GACGAACGCUGGCGGCGUGCCUAAUACAUGCAAGUUGAGCGCUGAAGGUUGGUACUUGUACCAACUGGAUGAGCAGCGAACGGGUGAGUAACGCGUGGGGAAUCUGCCUUUGAGCGGGGGACAACAUUUGGAAACGAGUGCUAAUACCGCAUAAAAACUUUAAACACAAGUUUUAAGUUUGAAAGAUGCAAUUGCAUCACUCAAAGAUGAUCCCGCGUUGUAUUAGCUAGUUGGUGAGGUAAAGGCUCACCAAGGCGAUGAUACAUAGCCGACCUGAGAGGGUGAUCGGCCACAAUGGGACUGAGACACGGCCCAAACUCCUACGGGAGGCAGCAGUAGGGAAUCUUCGGCAAUGGACGAAAGUCUGACCGAGCAACGCCGCGUGAGUGAAGAAGGUUUUCGGAUCGUAAAACUCUGUUGGUAGAGAAGAACGUUGGUGAGAGUGGAAAGCUCAUCAAGUGACGGUAACUACCCAGAAAGGGACGGCUAACUACGUG
rnacentral:rRNA from 1 species